AUUGAACGCUGGCGGCAGGCCUAACACAUGCAAGUCGAACGAGUGGCGGACGGGUGAGUAAUGUCUGGGAAACUGCCUGAUGGAGGGGGAUAACUACUGGAAACGGUAGCUAAUACCGCAUACCAUCAGAUGUGCCCAGAUGGGAUUAGCUUGUUGGUGGGGUAACGGCUCACCAAGGCGACGAUCCCUAGCUGGUCUGAGAGGAUGACCAGCCAGACUGGAACGGAGACACGGUCCAGACUCCGACGGGAGGCAGCAGGGGGGAAGAUGGCACAAGGGGCGCAAGCCGGAUGCAGCCAGGCCGCGUGUAUGAAGAAGGCCUGCGGGUUGUAAAGUACGGUCAGCGGGGAGGCGUUACCCGAAGAAGAAGCACCGGCUAACUCCGUGCCAGCAGCCGCGGUAAUUC
rnacentral:rRNA from 1 species